rnacentral:rRNA from 1 species
AUUGAACGCUGGCGGCAGGCUUAACACAUGCAAGUCGAGCGGGGGAAGGUAGCUUGCUACCGGACCUAGCGGCGGACGGGUGAGUAAUGCUUAGGAAUCUGCCUAUUAGUGGGGGACAACAUCUCGAAAGGGAUGCUAAUACCGCAUACGUCCUACGGGGGAAAGCAGGGGAUCUUCGGACCUUGCGCUAAUAGAUGAGCCUAAGUCGGAUUAGCUAGUUGGUGGGGUAGAGGCCUACCAAGGCGACGAUCUGUAGCGGGUCUGAGAGGAUGAUCCGCCACACUGGGACUGAGACACGGCCCAGACUCCUACGGGAGGCAGCAGUGAGGAAUAUUGGACAAUGGGGGGAACCCUGAUCCAGCCAUGCCGCGUGUGUGAAGAAGGCCUUAUGGUUGUAAAGCACUUUAAGCGAGGAGGAGGCUACUCUAGUUAAUACCUAGGGAUAGUGGACGUUACUCGCAGAACAAGCACCGGCUAACUCUGUGCCAGCCGCCGCCGUAA